rnacentral:rRNA from 1 species
GACGAACGCUGGCGGCGGGCUUAACACAUGCAAGUCGAACGGAAAGGCCCUGCUUUUGUGGGGUGCUCGAGGGGCGAACGGGUGAGUAACACGUGAGUAACCUGCCCUUGACUUUGGGAUAACUUCAGGAAACUGGGGCUAAUACCGGAUAGGAGCUCCUGCUGCAUGGUGGGGGGGGGAAAGUUUCGGCGGUUGGGGAUGGACUCGCGGCUUAUCAGCUUGUUGGUGGGGUAGUGGCUUACCAAGGCUUUGACGGGUAGCCGGCCUGAGAGGGUGACCGGCCACAUUGGGACUGCGAUACGGCCCAGACUCCUACGGGAGGCAGCAGUGGGGAAUAUUGCCCAAUGGGCGGAAGCCUGAUGCAGCAACGCCGCGUGCGGGAUGACGGCCUUCGGGUUGUAAACCGCUUUCGCCUGUGACGAAGCGUGAGUGACGGUAAUGGGUAAAGAAGCACCGGCUAACUACGUG